rnacentral:rRNA from 1 species
UAUGUAGGGUGCGAGCGUUGUCCGGAAUUAUUGGGCGUAAAGAGCUCGUAGGCGGUUUGUCGCGUCUGCUGUGAAAACUGGGGGCUCAACCCCCAGCCUGCAGUGGGUACGGGCAGACUAGAGUGCGGUAGGGGAGAUUGGAAUUCCUGGUGUAGCGGUGGAAUGCGCAGAUAUCAGGAGGAACACCGAUGGCGAAGGCAGAUCUCUGGGCCGUAACUGACGCUGAGGAGCGAAAGCAUGGGGAGCGAACAGG